rfam:Rhizophagus irregularis DAOM 197198w jcf7180003193217, whole genome shotgun sequence.
CAAUAGGUUCCAUUUGGAACCUAUAAUAUAUAAAAAAAAUUUUUUU